GAUGAACGCUGGCGGCGUGCCUAAUACAUGCAAGUCGAGCGAACAGACGAGGAGCUUGCUCCUCUGACGUUAGCGGCGGACGGGUGAGUAACACGUGGAUAACCUACCUAUAAGACUGGGAUAACUUCGGGAAACCGGAGCUAAUACCGGAUAAUAUAUUGAACCGCAUGGUUCAAUAGUGAAAGACGGUUUUGCUGUCACUUAUAGAUGGAUCCGCGCCGCAUUAGCUAGUUGGUAAGGUAACGGCUUACCAAGGCAACGAUGCGUAGCCGACCUGAGAGGGUGAUCGGCCACACUGGAACUGAGACACGGUCCAGACUCCUACGGGAGGCAGCAGUAGGGAAUCUUCCGCAAUGGGCGAAAGCCUGACGGAGCAACGCCGCGUGAGUGAGGAAGGUCUUCGGAUCGUAAAACUCUGUUAUUAGAGAAGAACAAAUGUGUAAGUAACUAUGCACGUCUUGACGGUACCUAAUCAGAAAGCCACGGCUAACUACGU
rnacentral:rRNA from 1 species